GACAGAGGUUGCAAACGUUGUUCGGAAUCACUGGGCAUAAAGCGCACGUAGGCGGUCUGUUAAGUCAGGUGUGAAAGCCCCCGGCUCAACCGGGGAAUUGCAUUUGAUACUGGCAGGCUCGAGAACGGUAGGGGUGAGUGGAACUCCAGGUGGAGCGGUGAAAUGCGUAGAUAUCUGGAGGAACACCGGUGGCGAAAGCGGCUCACUGGACCGUCACUGACGCUGAGGUGCGAAAGCUAGGGUAGCAAACCGG
rnacentral:rRNA from 1 species